GGGGGGCGGGCGGCCGCAAUUACCCAAUCCCGACACGGGGAGGUAGUGACAAGAAAUAACAAUACAGGGCUAAUGUCUUGUAAUUGGAAUGAUGGUGACUUAAACCCUCACCAGAGUAGCAAUUGGAGGGCAAGUCUGGUGCCAGCAGCCGCGGUAAUUCCAGCUCCAAUAGCGUAUAUUAAACUUGUUGCAGUUAAAAAGCUCGUAGUUGUAUUUUUGCUUGGCGGUUUGUUGCCUUUGUGGCUUGAUUCCGCUUGGCUUUUGGCUUUUUGCCUUAUUACUUUGAGAAAAUUAGAGUGUUUCAAGCAGACUUUUGUCUUGAAUACUGUAGCAUGGAAUAAUAGAGUAGGACUUUGGUUCUAUUUUGUUGGUUUGGGAACCUUGGUAAUGGUUAAUAGGAACGGUUGGGGGCAUUCGUAUUUAACUGUCAGAGGUGAAAUUCUUAGAUUUGUUAAAGACGAACUACUGCGAAAGCAUUUGCCAAGGACGUUUCCAUUAAUCAAGAACGAAAGUUAGGGGAUCGAAGACGAUCAGAUACCGUCGUAGUCCUAACCAUAAACUAUGCCGACUAGUGAUUGGAGGUCGUCGUUUGUAUGACCCCUUCAGGAGCUUGAGAGAAAUCAAAGUCUUUGGGGGGAGUAUGGGUCGCAAA
rnacentral:rRNA from 1 species